rnacentral:misc_RNA from 1 species
AACGCACGAGACCUGCGGACCUGCGGAAGGAUCAUUAGUGAACGCCCUCACGGGCUUAUAACUAUUCCAAACCUCUGUGAGCCGUGCCCUUCGGGGCUAUUUUACAAACAUGGUGUAAUGAACGUCAUAUAUCAUAACAAAACAAAACUUUUAACAAUGGAUCUCU